rnacentral:tRNA from 1 species
AAUUGAUUAGUUGAAUAAAACAUUUAUUUUGAAAAUAAAAAGUGAUACAUAAUUUUAUCAUCAAUUU